rnacentral:rRNA from 1 species
AGAACGAACGCUGGCGGCAGGCCUAAUACAUGCAAGUCGAACGAUGUAGCAAUACAUAGUGGCGCACGGGUGAGUAACGCGUGGGAAUCUGCCCAUUAGUACGGAAUAACUGCGGGAAACUGCAGCUAAUACCGUAUACGCCCUUCGGGGGAAAGAUUUAUCGCUAAUGGAUGAGCCCGCGUAAGAUUAGCUAGUUGGUGGGGUAAAAGCCUACCAAGGCUACGAUCUUUAGCUGGUCUGAGAGGACGACCAGCCACACUGGAACUGAGACACGGUCCAGACUCCUACGGGAGGCAGCAGUAGGGAAUAUUGGACAAUGGGGGAAACCCUGAUCCAGCCAUGCCGCGUGAGUGAUGAAGGCCUUAGGGUUGUAAAGCUCUUUUACCAGGGAAGAUAAUGACGGUACCUGGAGAAUAGUUCCGGCUAACUUCGCGCCAGCAGCCGC